UACGUAGGGCGCAAGCGUUGUCCGGAAUUAUUGGGCGUAAAGAGCUCGUAGGCGGUUUGUCGCGUCUGCUGUGAAAUCCCGAGGCUCAACCUCGGGCUUGCAGUGGGUACGGGCAGACUAGAGUGCGGUAGGGGAGACUGGAAUUCCUGGUGUAGCGGUGGAAUGCGCAGAUAUCAGGAGGAACACCGAUGGCGAAGGCGGCACUCUGGGCCGGUACUGACGCUGAGGAGCGAAAGCGUGGGGAGCAAACAGG
rnacentral:rRNA from 1 species